AAGACAUGCAAGUCGUACGCGAACGACCUUUCGGGGUUAAGUAGAGUGGCGAACGGGUUAGUAACGCGUGGGAACAUACACAGCACAGGGGGAUAACCAUUGGAAACGAUGGCUAAUACCGCAUACGCCCUAUUGGGGAAAGAUUUAUCGGUGUUGGAUUGGCCCGCGUUAGAUUAGCUAGUUGGUGGGGUAAUGGCUCACCAAGGCGACGAUUUAUAGCUGGUUUGAGAGGAUGAUCAGCAACACUGGAACUGAGACACGGUCCAGACUCCUACGGGAGGCAGCAGUCGGGAGUAUUGUGCAAUGGGGGCAACCCUGACACAGCCAUGCCGCGUGAGUGAAGAAGGCCUUAGGGUUGUAAAGCUCUUUCAGAUGUGAGGAUGAUGACGAUAGCAUCAGAAGAAGCUCCGGCUAACUUCGUGCCAGCAGCCGCGGUAAUACGAAGGGAGCUAGCGUUGUUCGGAAUUACUGGGCGUAAAGGGCGUGUAGGCGGAUUAUCAAGU
rnacentral:rRNA from 1 species